ACCGCAACCUCUGCCUCCGGGUUCAAGAGAUUCUCCCGCCUCAGUCUCCCAAGGAGCUGGGAUUACAGGCAUGAGCCACCAAGCCCGGCUAAUUUUGUAUUUUGAGUAGAGAUGGGGUUUCUCCAUGUUGGUAAUCCUGUAUUUUAGAACCUGCCAGACAUUCAGUUGAAACAUUCUGUUCUUGAACAGAGGAAAAACACUCUUCACACAGUGCUUACGAGUUUCUGAAGUCUUUAUUGGUACUCUGCACACCUUCACACCUCCGUGAGAAGAAAACAGUAGAUUUAUAUUAGAAACUGUAUUGAAAAAUGUCUACUUCAAACACACUCAAAGGACUUUCCGGUUGUUUUAUUGCUAUGCCAGAAUACCUUCAUGUAACUGAAGUAACUUGGACUAAGCAAGAGAGAAAAACGUUAACAGGCCAGGCCUGGGUCCAACAGUGAAGAACGAGAAGAUUGUUCUUGAGGCCUAGUCAAUAUCAAUGUAAGCAUCACAAUGAAGGAAAACAUGACUACAUAAAAAAUUAACAACAAGGAGGCUGAUUUCCUUUUGAGAGGAAAAAAUUUUGAAAACCUGAAGAAUUGAGAGCAUAGAAAGAAACCCAUGUAAUCAUACUAGUAUCUUCUAAGUGUAAUCCAUAUAGAUAUUAAGAAAACAAAAUUUAAGGAGACCUCCUACCAAACAUCUUUCAAGGUUUGUUUUUUUUGUUUUGUCUUUUCAUUUCCCAGAUAUGCUUCUACUAUUAACCUAUAGGGGGAAAAACCUGCAUUACCUCUGUACUGGCCUCUGUUGGCCUCUUUCUUCCUUAACCCAUUUCCUAUUUAGAAAAAAAAAAUGCAGCUCGAUGCAGGUGUUCAUUUAAUUUUACAUAAACACACUCUUUGAGGUUGAAGCAAAUCUAACCGACUUUCAAUGUGAAAAUAAAAUAUAAACAGUUAUUGGAGUUAUUUCUAAACAGAACUUGUCUGUAAUCCUAAUGUAAUAGAAAUGUAUAUGAUUAGAAUUAGAGAUAAGAGUAUUCUUGGGGCAAAUGGGAAAUGGGUUAAAUUAUGCCUUUUAUCCAUGUUUCCAUCUUUGGUAGAAAGAAUAGAGGUUCAUCAAUGUUAAUUUCUCUUAUACACACCCUAAGUGACCCAGCUCUUUCUUUUUCUGAAGUGGGCUCUUUACCCACAUGAGCCCCUCAACUUAAAGAUACAAGAUCUAAAGAGUGGCCUCAAAGCAGCUUCAUUCCUCUAAACAUUACCUAAACUCAGAAAUGAUUUAGUAUCUUUUUUUAGAAAAAUUAAUAAAAAUGCAUUGUAUUCAUUUGUUUGAACUACUUGCCAUUGAUAUUUAUUCACCACAGAGGAAAAUAACAACUAUUUUUAGAAAUAUACAUACAGAAUUAAAUUCACUGAAUUUUUCAUUGGAACAUAAUUCUAAAUGCAGUUCCAUGUUGCUUAUCUAGCAAAACCAUAGGCUCAAAUGUUUAAAAAUACUUUGAUGGACAGCAACUUUUGGAACUGUGUCAGGGACAGAAUUUAGACAGAGAUUGGCUUUUACAGAAUGCUUAAACCAGUUAUUUUCAAACUUUUUGGCAAUGACCCACAGUAGAACGCAUUUGAUUUUACAACUCAGUAUAGGCAAAACUUUAAACACAUAUACAAAUAUAUAAUAUAGACACACAGGAUACUUAAAAAGGGUUUCAUAAAUGCAUUCUUACGGCAUUGUGAUAUUUUCUAUUAUUUUCAUUUAGACAAACAAUUAUCAUUGCCUAUUACAUUUAUUCAGAACCCGUUAGUGUGGUCAUGACCUGCAGUCUGAACAAAGCUACUUUAAACUCUGGUUGUGGCAUGGUAUGUGUUAGGUCUAUUUUCAGACUGUCUUAAGGAACCAAAUCUUCCCAUGAUUUAUCUAGGAAAGAAGUUUUCCAAGUUCUAAAACCAAUUUGCAAACAACUUGCAGAACUCAGUUCAUUCAUAAAUAAUGAUACAGCUAUACUUUCUUCAAAAUGUCAAUUUUUUUAACCAGCACAUAUUCAUAGUUUUACAUCACCCAUGCUUGGAGAAUAACUCAAAACAGGAGCUUUAAACAAUUCUGUUCAGUGUCACACUAAGGUUCAAUAAUUGUAUAUGUCUCUGUUCACAGCAUCGUUUUUCUGGAGUAUAAAUAUCAGAGAAAGUUAAAUCUAACAUCUGUGGAUAUACUGUCAGAAAUAAAGGAAUACUGUAGGAAGACAUUUUUAGAAGUGAUGAUUUUCAAAUAACAAUUUGAGUCACUCUUAAUGACAUUUUUGCAAUAUUUUGCACCUAUUUCUUAGCAGCAAAGAAAUGACAAAGAGUUAACAAAACAUUUAUUCUUAUCUAGACAAUAUUCUUCAGUAAGUCUGGGGAAAUGCUCAUUAAAAGCCUCACAUGUUUACAGACCACAGUGCAUUAAUAGGAAUUCAAUUAAAUACUUAUUGCUUUUGUCAUUUAAAGUAAGUUAACCAGAUGGCAUGACAUUCUCCAAAAGAGAUUUUAAACAAACAGUGGAGAUUUAAUUAAUAUGCACCAGUUAACUCAUUAAAUAUGUAACAACUAGAUCAUUAAACUUAAGGUAAAUACUUAUUUGAGAUGAAUUGUCUAAUUUUCACAUUUAUCUUCAUUUUUCUUGACUGGUCAUGUUAUAAAUGGUAACUUUUAAAAUCUAAGACAUUUUAAAGUACAAAUAUUUUGUGUUUCUCAUAAUUCUUCCACCAAUGCUAAAAGGGAAACUGACAUUAUUUUCAUAGAAAAUGCAAAAUUGAAUUACUACAUAGUAACAACCAAAUGAUUUUAAUUUUUAUUCUAACUUAGAUGUAUCAAUUCACAUGUGCUACUUUAGAAGCAAAUAGUAAACCUUUCUCAUCUAUCGUUAGUACCUUUACAUAGAUUACACAGUAAUACUCACAGUAAAUUUUAAACACCUAACUUUUCCACUGUAUGCCUCUGUGUUACUUAUAUUAUAAUGGAGUUUUGUACCUUUGAACAAAGAAUUACUAUUCUUUAUCUGGUGAGAUCAUCAUUCUUGUCCUUUGAUAAAAAUGGCCAGGAAAGGGAGACAGUGUAGGAGAAUACAGGCCUAGCCAGACAUAUUGCCCGGGGAAGUAUGACAAGUUAACAGGCGGCACACCUUGUAGUCAGCGUGUUAGACGUCCAAGAAUAUAGGCUGCUUGUUUUCACAACUCUUAAGAUUAAGUAAUUCAUAUUUUAUAGAUUCAAACUAAUGAAAUAUUUGGACGCAGUUGCUUUGAAGUGUCUUACAGUUGGGACUCAUUAAAAUAACUAAACUACGUAUUAGAGUGGACCUAACCCUUUACUUAGGGCAUACCCUAGUAAAGGAUUCCUACUAUGAGUUUUCCAUUUAUAUUAACUAUUCUUAGAAUUAAAUUCCUAUUUUCAGCUUCACAGUGUAUAUUAAAUGAUUAAUUUCAUUUAUAACAUUCUUCUACCCUUGUUAACACAUACACACAUGCACACACAUUUUAUACUUAAUGUAAACUUUUUAAAAUAAAAAAACGUGAAAACAGCACCCUUAUAGACAAUCCCAGUUCUAAGAGACUCAAAACUAGUUUUUAUUCUGAAUAUAUCAUUAAAUAAUGCAAUUACAAAUAUAUAAAGCGUAAUAUCAAAGCUUUCUGCAAUUAGAUUAAGAGUUGUAUUAGGUUCAAGAUACAUGGGCUGUCAAUAGCAGCAUUUUCUAAUAUUUUGGAUAAAAAUGAUAAAGAUUAUACAUUUUGACAAUGCUGUUGUAAAGGUUAUGUAAUCAUGUAUUAAUUGCAUGCAGCCAUCUGCCUAUCUUUUCAAGCUUUUUGCAGGCAACCACUCUCUGGCCACUAGCUUCCUAUGUUGCCACACCAAAACCCUCCCAUUUUUUUAUCUAUCUACGACUUUCAAUUCUUAAGAUCCUAUCACCUUUUCACUGGUAUUACCCAUCUCCAGUGUCUUCUCUCAUCAUCUUAACCAGAUUAAAGUUCAUGGUGUGUCCGGAAUUGGUGGGUUCUUGGUCUCCCUGACUUCAAGAAUGAAGCCGCGGACCCUCGAAUCCUCACAGUUAGUGUUACAGUUCUUAAACAUCGUGUGUCCAGAAUUUGUUCCUUCUGGUGAGUUUGUGCUCCCAGUGACUUCAGGAGUGAAGCUACAGACCUUCGCGGUGAGUGUUACAGCUCAGUACACCUCAUAAAAGUGGUACAGACCCAAACGGUGACCAGCAGCAAGAUUUAGUGCAAACAGCAAAAGAACACAUCUUCCACACCCCCUAAGGGUACCGCUGCGGGUUGCCUCUGCUGGCUGGAGCAGCCUGCUUUUAUUCCCUUAUCUGAACCCACCAACAUCCUGCCGAUUGGUCCAUUUUGCAGAGAGCUGAUUGGUUCAUUUUUCAGAGAGCUGAUUGGUCCAUUUUUCAGAGAGCUGAUUGGUCCGUUUUGACAAGGUGCUGAUAGGUGCAUUUACAAACCUUUAGCUAGACACAGAGUGCUGAUUGGUGUGCUUUUACAAUCCUUUAGCUAAACAGAAAAGUUCUCCAAGUCCCCACUAGAUUAGCUAGACACACAGCGCUGAUUGGUGCAUUUACAAACCUUUAGCUAGACACAGAGUGCUGAUUGGUGCAUUUACAAACUUUUGGCUUGACAGAAAAGUUUUCUAAGUUCUCACCCUUCCCAGAAGCCCAGCCAGCUUCACCUCUCACUGGCACUCGCUGGGGGACUUUGCAGCACCUAGCCCAGGCACUCCAGCAGCCCAGAGGGAGUUCCUCCCCUGAUCAAGCCCAGCAGGCACCCACCAGCCCUGCAGAGUGCGGGGCCCUCCGAGUCUGUGCCCACCCGGAACCCGCGCUGGCCCGCGAGCGCCGUGUGCAGCCCCGGCUCCCGCCUGCGCCUUUUCCUCCACACCUCCCCGUGAGCAGAGGGAGCUGGCUCCGGCCUUGGCCAGCCCCAGAGAGGGGCCCCCACAGCGCAGCGGCGGGCUGAAGGGCCCCUCAGGCGUGGCCAGAGCGAAUGCCAAGGCCAAGGAGGCGCCGAGAGUGAGCGAGGGCUGCUGGCACGUUGUCACCUCUAAAUGGGUAAUUAUUAUACUCACCCUUUAUAUACAUUUUGUAUUUGUUUAUAUAACCCCCAUUUUCAUAUCAUUCUGGCAAAAAAUAAAUAAAUAAAUACUUAAAUCCAGCACUUCUGCUUAUUCCUUGUUCAGUACAGGCAGUUGAAUGUGGCCAGAGUGUGUGAGGAUUCAGUCAUUGUUUCAGUUCUCUUUAUCUGUAUUCUCUCACUUGGUCAUCUCAUCUGUGCUUAUAAAUUAGUACCAUUAAUAUGUCAACAACUUUCAAACUUGUAUCUUCAUCAGAGAUCUUUUUGCCUAACUCCACUAAAUUCAUAUACCAAUUUCCCAGUUAAGAUCUCCACUUUGAUGCCUAGUAGACAUCAGAAACUUAACAUGUCUAAACCCUAAGUCAUGAUUUUUCCCUUAUAAACCUGCUCUAGCCAUAGGUUUUCCUUUCUAGGCAGACAAAAAUUCUCUUCUUCCAUUGCAGAGGCCACAAACUUCGGAGCCAUCUUUGACUGCACACACCAGAACAAUCCAUCCGGAAAUCAUUGUGUCUCAUUUUAAAAACAUAUUCAGAAUCUGACACCCACUCACUCCCUUCCCUGAAACCAAGGUCCAAAAUACUAUGCUCUCUCAUUUUGUGUUAAAACAGUGGCCUUUAACUGAACUCUCUAUUCCUACCUUUUAAUCCAUGGAGUUAACUCUCAACUUCUCUGCUUUAAACUUCAAUGUUCCCCAUUUCACUCUAAGUGAAACCCAAAUUCCUUAAAAUGGCCAACAAGUCGCAUACUUUUCUAACCUCAUUUCCCAUUACUCUCUGCUUGCUCAUUCUGCUCAUUCAACAGACUUAGUGGUGUUACAUUUCUUGAACAUUCAAGCAUUAUUUCUGAUAUACUCCUUUCCCUAAUAUAUGCAUGGCUAAAGAACUCACCUAGUUUAGGUCUUUGCUCAAAUAUCAUUCCAUGUUUGCUCAAAUGUUACCACAUACAUUUUGGAUGUUUAACAUGCUCUGUUUUUCCUUACUUUCAGCUCCAUAUAACAUAUCAUAUAAUUUGUUUACUUGUUGUAUUUAUUUUUUAGAUGAGGUAUCACUCUAUCGCCCAGGCUGGAAUACAGUGGUGUGAUCUCAGCUCACUGCAACCUCCACCUCCCUGGUUCAAGCUAUUAUCCUGCCUCAGCCUCCCAAGUAGCUGGGAUUACAGGCAAGUGCCACCGCACCUGGCUAAUUUUUGUACUUUUUAGUAGAAAUGGGGUUUCACCAUGUUGGCCACCCUCGAACUCCUGACCUCAAAUGAGCCAUCUGCCUUAGCCUCCCAAAGUGUUGGGAUUACAGGCAUGAGCUACUGCACCCUGCCUGUUGUAUGUUGUAUUCAUUUUCUGUGUCCCUUUACCAGAAUAUCAAUUGUAUGAAAUAAGAUUUUUUUCUUCACUUAGGAUAGAUUCUUAGCCCUUAAACUCUGUAUGACAUAUUGUAGACAUUAAGUAAAUGUUUGCUUAAUGAAUAAAGGACUACAUGCACAUUUUUUUAAAAAAAAAUCAAAUACUACAGAAACUGUUAGGAAAACUUUCUAAAGGGAAAACAACAUUAUCCACCUCUUGCCCCACCCAUUUUAUUCCUGGUUUUAUUUGCAGAUACAAUUAUGUGUUCUUCUAUCAGUUAGAAUCAUGUCACUAAAAAAAAAAAAACCUACCAAUUGUAUAUUUACAUAUCCAUUAUAAAUGUUAUUAAUUAACUCCUCAUUAUAGGAGAAAAGAAUUUAAUUUUACUUAUACUCUCCACAGUUUCAAUUUUUUCUAUAUUCUAUUUGUUGAAUGCUAAAGCAUAAAUUUCAGAGUUUAAAUACAAUUUUACAUUAUAUAAUUAAAUCUCAACUUUUGUCCAAUCAAAUUUCUAUAGUAUAUCAAAUUACUACUAUAUAAGGUUUCAUUUUCGUCACUUCUCCUCUUCCACCACCGAAAGUUCAUGAACUACACUUUUCAUUUGACAUUGUCAAGGCUGUAAUAUGUACGUACUCAUUUGCAAUCAUAAGUAUGCCAUCUGUGCUUUGCCUAUAAGGUAAUUGCAGACGUUAAAACCUAAGUUUAAAACUUAAUAAUCCAAUGUUUGUUUACAGCAGCAUGGCAGUCUAGAUACUAGCAAAGAUAUUCCCCUGGAAGUAAACAGAAUCUUUCAUUAGGUGUCUUUUUUUACAUCUUGCUGAUCUGAAAUAAAGUGAAUGAUUCUUCAAUGUCCAAAAUGAUGUUAAGGUAGGGAAUUAAAGUAGAAAGUUAAAAUGGGAAAGCUGGAAGUUAUGUAAAUAACAAGCUGGCUUUCACCCUGAUAAGUCUUGCCCGUCACUGGAGUCUUUAGACUUCUCUUUUGUUGGCUGCCUGAGUCACAGGGAUAAAAUAAAGCCUGUAGCCAAAAUAAAAUGAAAUGUCUAAACAGGAAAUCCACAUAUAAAACUAGAUUAACACAAAAGGUUAAACCCUCAAUGUAAAGGUGUACAAGAACUAAUUUUCCUUUGCAGAGGAGUCAUCAAACAGACUUGCUUGAUUCAUGUCAUGUGACAAUUCUUAAACAGAGUCUCAGUUACAUAUAGAUUUGUGCUUAGAAGUUUGCACUAAUUGUAUGGUCUUGAAAACCUCAAAUCUAACAUUAGUGUAAGGUAUUUACGAGUGAUCAUGGCUCCAGUGUUGAAAGAAGCCAAUGCAAAUCCUUUCUGGAAGAACCUACUUUCAUCUCUGGUGUCUAGCUAGGAUAAGGGGAAAAAAGCAGGGAAUUGAGAUCAGGUAAGCUUAUUCAGAGCACCUCUACCAUACUCACUUACAUGAGUGGCAGGUACAUGAGUCAUCACAGAGAGAUAGUAUACUAUGCAUAAAAGUUUUACAAUAUUGUGAACGUUUAAUUCACUUUUUUUAACCAAAACUAAUGCACGGCAUUUAUACUAAGAAUGAAAUGUCAGUAAGAGCUAAUAUUUCUGGAGUGUGUCAUGUGAUCUUCAUGUUGUGAUAACACUUUUUAUGAAGUAUCUUAUUUAAAAAUGUCUGAAAACAAUCCUUUAUAAUAAGCAUACUGUUUUACAGAUUAUAGAGAAAUAAAACACUUCCCUAAGGCCACACAAGUAGUUUAUGGUUGAGUCAGGAUUUUUAUCUUUAUUUUGAUUUAGUAAGAACGAGAUAUGUAAUGGAAUUAUGUUUUUUCUUGCCUGGGUCCAGUGUCAGAAUACCUGCUUUAUUCAAGAAUAAUGUUAAUGGUGGCGAUGUCAAAUGAAUUAUCUUUCCUGAAGCUCUCUUACUUGUUCUAAAACUUUUAGUGGGCUUCAGGUUUUGAUUUGUGCUUUUCACAUUUGAUUUCAAUUUUCAAGCAUUUUACCUGAUAAAAAUGAUUGCCACUAAGGAAUUUUAAAAAAUACAGAGAUUGAAAAUGUCAUCAAGGUAAGGUGGGCUCAAAAUUUUGGAGUGUGGGCAGGAAAAUGGAAUGGAAGUGGUGCUUUCUCUUGAGCCCAUGUUGCCAUGGGUGUUUUGCUCUGUUUUUUGUUUGUUUUGUUUCACUUUAGCAUCAGUAAGAAUAUCAAUUCUUUAUCUACUAUUACUGUCUUACUCUCAUCUUCUGAUUCCAGAAUCAGCUAACCUAAAAUAUAGAACUGCUACAAGAAACAGGUGUGUUAGCAAGUUAUCUUGAUAAUAAAAUUGCUUUGGAAAAUAACAUCACGAAUACAAUCAGAGUAGGCAGUGUUCUUCUGCUCAUUAUCCCAUGCCAUGGACUUAAUGUUUAUAUCAUUAGCCUCUUAGUCAUCUUUAUUUUAUUAAGCAUAUUAAUGUCCCAGAGCUAAAAUGCAAUGCCCCUUAUCCUUUUUCUGUUAUCAAGUAACUCCAUAAAAUUUAAAUCUCCCACAGUCCUAAAAAUGUUUUACUCAUAUAAUUGGCGUCACUUUGCUAUGGCAUUAAAACAUUCUUAGACGCAAAGGUCAUAUCAGCAAGAAUUCUUUAAGCACCAUAUUGGUAUUUUGAGGUGUUCAAAUAAGCAGAAGCCAUAAACACCUCUCUUUAGUUCACAAUUUUAGGUAGGAAAAGAAGAUUUGUUGAUAUAAUAUAAUAGACUUCCAUAGGACAGUAAAUCAAAAAUCAGUUAGGAUUUUAAUAACUUUGGUGGUUUUAAAACUUGUCUGAAGAUUCUUAGACACUCUUUAUAGCACAAUUAGGAGGUUAAUAUUCCUUCUCUUCAAUGUGAUCCAGCUUUAAUGACUUCCUUUUAAUGAACAGAAUGUGGCAGGAGUGACACUGCAUGAGGCUAACUCUUUGGAGGUGACACAUUUAUCCUGUUUCUCACUUCCUGCACAGGUGCCUUUUGAGCCCUGAGCUAGUGUAAAGAUGUGGCUACUCUGAAGCCACUGUAAUGGAGACAUGUGAAGAAACACCUAGAAACAGAAAGCGAUGACCAACGAGCACCAGCUAUUCCAAGGGCGACUUGUGUGAGACUUCCUUGCUCAACUCAAGACCUGUUAACUCAAAUCUACUGGGAGAAGCUGACUAUAAGAAGAGCAUCUGAUAGAUAUUCCAGCUCAGCUGCAUACAGAGACUUCAUCAGCUCAUGUCAUGCCCAGAGUUAGCCUUUCAGUUCCAAGGCUAUUUUUCCCAUUUCCUUAUUCACUGUGCUCCCUGACUUCAAGUUCAAUGCCAGGAUUGUGGAAUCAGGUCAUUUGAAUAAAACAUAAAAAGUAUUAUUAGGUACAGAGCUAAAUGUAGGUCAUAUUUGAGAACAAAUAAUAUUAUAUUUAAUCAUCUAAAAAAAGCUAAGAGGAAUUCUGUUAUCAAGGAAAUAUUUGUUUUCUUUGACUUAAAUGCUGCUUAUAGUCCUAAUAUUCCAUAGUUUCUUUGAAGCUAAUAUUUUGCUUUUAAUUAUGAAAAUCAGUUAGGAAUAUUGAGGUACACAGAUAAAAAUGGUAUUAGUAUAAACAUGCAAUUUAUAAAAUAGGAAAUCAAUGAUGCUAAUAAGCAUAAGAUAUACUCAAAAUUAUUAGUACUCACAAAAAUAAAAAUUAAAAAACACAGUAAGCUACUAUUUAUAUCUAUUUGGCUAAAAGAAUCAGAAAGCUGGAUAUUGCCUUACGCUAGCAGUGAUGUUGGUAUAUAGAAAUUCUGACACAUUUCUGAAGACAAUAUAGACUAAUAUAGCCAUUGUGAAGAGCAACCUGUAAAGUCAUUUAAAUGUGCAUAUAAUUUAUGAUUAGGGUAAACAUACAACUUUGAGAUUGAAAGAGGAAGCUAUUUAUAUUUACUCUGAGACAAUAAACUUAUUUCAAGCCUGUUCCAAGCAAGGUAACUGUAUAUGUCAACUUAUUUAUGACAGUAAUUUUGUUCUUAGGAACCGUAUUCCAAAGAAUUUUACUCAAAGAUCUAUAGAUGUAGGCAUACAAGAAUCAAUAUGGAAGAGUAGAAAAAUGAAUAUUUUUGUUAAUACUCAAACACUAACUGAAAUAAAACUAACUAAUUAAUUUAUAUUGAUACUCCCAGUUAUGGCAAUACAAUAGUAUAACUUUUUAUUAGUUCUUAUUUGAUUAUCGUGGGAUUUAAUAUUUUAAUAAAUUAAAUGGCUGUUAUUACUAAUUUCUUUUUGGUAAUUUUCUCUUUUUUCACUUGGUAUCUUGGUG
rnacentral:lncRNA from 10 species